rnacentral:rRNA from 1 species
AAUCAAAACGCUGGUUACGGUAAUUAUCGCGUCACCCUCGAUCCGUAGCUAAAUUCAAUGUAAAAUGUCCCCGAACUAGCUACCCUGACCAAGCAGCAGUCGGGUAAUACGGUAGGCUGGGCAAGCGUCAUUCCUGGAAAUUACUUGGGGCGUAAAAGCGGGUCGUAGGUCGGGUUUUUUUAAGUCUGAUGUGAAAAGCCCACGGCUCCAACCGUGGAGGGGUCAUUGGAAACUGGAAAAACUUGAGUGCAGAAGAGGAAAGUGGAAUUCCCAUGUGUAGCGGUGAAAUGCGCAGAGAUAUGGAGGAACACCAGUGGCGAAGGCGACUUUCUGGUCUGCAACUGACGUGAUGUGCGAAAGCGUGGGGAUCAAACAGGAUUAGAUACCCUGGUAGUCCACGCCUAAACGAUGAGUGCUAAGUGUUAGGGGGUUUCCGCCCCUUAGUGCUGCAGCUAACGCAUUAAGCACUCCGCCUGGGGAGUACGGCCGCAAGGCUGAAACUCAAAGGAAUUGACGGGGACCCGCACAAGCGGUGGAGCAUGUGGUUUAAUUCGAAGCAACGCGAAGAACCUUACCAAAUCUUGACAUCCUUUGACCGCUCUAGAGAUAGAGUCUUCCCCUUCGGGGGACAAAGUGACAGGUGGUGCAUGGUUGUCGUCAGCUCGUGUCGUGAGAUGUUGGGUUAAGUCCCGCAACGAGCGCAACCCUUAAGCUUAGUUGCCAGCAUUAAGUUGGGCACUCUAAGUUGACUGCCGGUGACAAACCGGAGGAAGGUGGGGAUGACGUCAAAUCAUCAUGCCCCUUAUGAUUUGGGCUACACACGUGCUACAAUGGACAGUACAAAGGGCAGCGAAACCGCGAGGUCAAGCAAAUCCCAUAAAGCUGUUCUCAGUUCGGAUUGUAGUCUGCAACUCGACUACAUGAAGCUGGAAUCGCUAGUAAUCGUAGAUCAGCAUGCUACGGUGAAUACGUUCCCGGGUCUUGUACACACCGCCCGUCACACCACGAGAGUUCGUAACACCCGAAGCCGGUGGAGUAACCUUUAGGAGCUAGCCGUCGAAGUGAUC